rnacentral:snRNA from 1 species
GUGCUCACUUAGGCAGCACAUAUACUAAAACUAGAAUAAUACAAAGAUUAGUAUGGCCCCUGUGCAAAGAUGACA